rnacentral:rRNA from 1 species
AGCAGCCGCGGUAAUUCCAGCUCCAAUAGCGUAUAUUAAAGUUGUUGCAGUUAAAAGCUCGUAGUUGAAUUUCGGGAUUAGUACGCUGGUCGUGCCUUUGGUAUGUACUGGUGUUACUGAUUCCCACCUUCUGACGAACCGUCAUGUCAUUAAUUUGGUGUGGCGGGGAAUCAGGACUGUUACUUUGAAAAAUUAGAGUGUUUAAAGCAGGCUCGCGCUUGAAUACAUUAGCAUGGAAUAAUGAAAUAGGACGUUCGAUCCUAUUUUGUUGGUUUCUAGGAUUGACGUAAUGAUUAAUAGGGAUAGUUGGGGGCAUUAGUAUUCAAUUGUCAGAGGUGAAAUUCUUGGAUUUAUUGAAGACUAACUACUGCGAAAGCAUUUGCCAAGGAUGUUUUCAUUAAUCAAGAACGAAAGUUAGGGGAUCGAAGACGAUCAGAUACCGUCGUAGUC